UGAAACUUCAUCUCAGAGUCUGCCUCACUGGGAAACCAAGCCACAAGAGCCAUUAAAGGAAAGCCAAUCAUCCUCCAAGCAUCUAAGGUGGUUUUGCAUGAAUUUAUGGAGCCCCUGCUGGGUUGUGGAAGAUCAGAAUCUAACAUUCUCCAGCAUCGAUUGUAUAGCUCGGAACUGUGUACCACAACUUGAUUAGGCUGUAGCACUGGAAUAGGCUUUUAUGGAAUCUCCCAUAUGAGGAUACUAUUAGUACUUAAUAGCUUGCUGUUGUGGUAUGUAUUUUCUAUUUUUGCUAUUUGAGGUUUUUCUGGUUGUUGUUAUGUUUUGUCUCCCGUUGGUGAAACCGAGGUACAAAACGGUGGCAACUCGCCCGAGAUUGGAAGAGGUAGUGCCAGAACUCAAGUGCAGGCCUCCUAAUCAUCCAGUGUUGAGUGACAUAGUAUAGUGGGUAGGAGGUGGUAACUGGGAUGGAUGGGGCUUCCUUCGCUUUCCACGAGGAAAAGAUGUCAAAAAGCUUGCGGUCAGCAGUUCAUGAAAGGACUCACCCUUGUGUCAUCCAGUUAUAUCAUCACUUCUUGUUUUCCUUGCAAAUUUUGUUGGAACAAUUUGGUGCGGUUAACCUUGGUCAUGAGAUUGGUUGCCUGGGGACAAUGCACCGAGUGCAAAGGGGAGCACACGUCAGUAAGCCUGAGCCUCAAGCCUCAAGCCUCAAGGUGAGCUCCUUGAGGGAAGGCCCCAUGUCCUUCAGCCUUGUGUUUCCCCACCAUCUAGCCAGGGCAGAGCAUGGAGUUAGUGUUGAAUAAAUAAAUGUCUGCUUGGAUGGGCAGUGGAUAGCAGCGACUACUACCUGCCUUCGAACCUACUGAAUGUUGACUCAAAAGAGGCAAAACAAUUGCAUUUUACUAUCGACUUAAAACUUUCCAAGCACAGACCCUGAGAGGCUCAGCCCUCCUGACCCCGAGAGACCCAUGACACUCCUGCCUAUGUCGCCCAGCCCUUCCCGCUGCUCUUCUGACCGUGACAACCUGUGCCACUCAGUUCAGCACUGCAUUACAGAGCGCCUUAUCCUGCUUAAGUCAGCACGCAAGUCUCAUGCCCGGGGUAGGGCGGCCCCCAGGAACUCAGUUGGCUUGCUGUGGGUUACAGAGCUCUUGCCCAUCCCGUGCUUCCUGCCCAGGAGGUGGGAGCAGCCGGGUGCUGCCCUCCAGGAUCUCAGCCAGCUUUCCUUGGCAGGAGCCAUGCCUAUUGUUGGAGCCGCUGAGCUGCUCAUGGGCAGGAGCCAGGGACGGAGCUCCCAAGGCUCACGUUGGACGCCACACGCACAAGGUCACAGGGUCAACCCUAGAGUCAACCCACGGCUCAGAUCCCCAGGUUGCCUUUUCACUUUUAUCAUUUUCACCUGAACCCUCAUUAUGCAAAUGCAGUAGCAUCUAGUCAAUUCAUGGGCUAACAGACUGUAAAAGGAAGGGAAAGAAAUACUGGCUAGUGUAGUGGAACAGAAGGCCAGGAACGAUGUUUCGGCUCCUGGGUUGUCCAACACACGCAGCUCCCGUGACACCUCCAGGACACGUGGCAGGGUAGGAUGGCGGGCAGCUUAUCUGAGGGCGGAGGCCCAGAGAAAAACAGUCGCCUUGGGUUUAGGGAGGGCAGAUGACAGAGGCAGGAGAGCAGAAGCAUUUCCUCCUUCAGCGUCCGCGACGGAAAAGCAAAUCUGCUGGACAAAAGAACCUCCACGUUUUAUGUGUUCUGUUGCCAGGCGCUUCACGGUGACAGAGCGAUGUCGAAGCCCCCGGACCUGCCAGGCCCAGAGGAGGUCACAGAAUAUUUUUGAUCAUGGUCCUGGCGGUGGGAGUGAUGGGCUGUCCGAGGAGCACCCGGGAGACCAGCUGGAUGCAAGCAUGAGCACCAUGGAGCUGGCUGGAGGCCAGCUUCUCACACCCAUGCUGUCUUCUGGAUUGUGGCACGUCCCUCCUAUCGGGUCUGCUGGCCACCGCUCCCACCUCCUCCGACCCAGUCUCCACUCCAGCCAGAAAGGAGCAUUGCCAGGCACACACCCAGGAAGCUUGCUACUCACUUGAAAUCUGUGGUGGGUUUCCCAAAGCCCUCUGACUUAGCCUGAACCCCAACCUGACUUUGAGAUCCUCACGCUCAAUCCCCUGGCUCUCUCGGAUGUUCCUUCCCGCUGCUCCACCUCACGCUCCGUGCUCCAGGCUCCCCCACUUCAGAGAAUCCAACAUUCUUCCUCCUGCCUUCCAGAAAUUGCUUUGAACUCAAUGUCACUCUGCUCAGAACACCCUCACCAGCAACUCCCCCUUGCCCCCACCGGCCUGCAGGUCCGUGCCUGUCCUCUCCCGUCCCACCCCCUAAGCCAAGUGAGGCUAAGUGUCCUUCCCACGGCAGGCUGGGCCCCCCACCCCCACCCCGGAGCCCUCCCCACAACGUAGGCCAAGCUCCUAAUGUUCGUCUCUGUUCCCAGCUAGACAGAACCUCCACAAAGCACAGUGGUGGUUUUUGUAUCACUAGCCUGGUGCUGACGCCCCAGACCGGGCCUGCCCAUCUUUUGCUCACUCCAAGUCUCCCUCCAGCCAUUAGCGGGGGCAGGGGAGAUGCUCUGGGACUUGGUGCCAGGAUCCUAGCACUGCUCGGUACUCCCCUCACUCCGUACCUUCAGGCAGGUCACUGUCCCCUCUGGCCCUCAGUUUCCCUACCUGCUCUUCUCUUCCCACAAGCUCAGAAGUAAAGCGACCAAAGCAGCUGGAGUGACUGACUCCCAUUUUUUUUCUUUAAGUUGACUUAUUUAUUUUCAGAGAGAGAGAGAGAGAGGAGAGCAGAGAGAGAAUCUCAAGCAGGCCCCCCGCUGCCAGCACAGAGCCCAAUACGGGGCUCGAACUCACAACCUGUGAGACCGUGAUCAGGACAGAAGUCAAGUGACUGACUGACUCCCUUCGAGAAUGUUAUUUUAGUGUAGUAACAUGGCAUCUGCCACCUUAACAGAUGUCCAAGUGCACAAUACAGUAUUGUUGACUCUA